GACGAACGCUGGCGGCGUGCUUAACACAUGCAAGUCGAACGGAAAGGCCCUGCUUUUGUGGGGUGCUCGUGUGGCGAACGGGUGAGUAACACGUGAGUAACCUGCCCUUGACUUUGGGAUAACUUCAGGAAACUGGGGCUAAUACCGGAUAGGAGCUCCUGCUGCAUUGUGGGGGUUGGAAAUUUUCGGCGGGUGGGGAUGGACCCGCGGCUUAUCAGCUUGUUGGUGGGGUAGUGGCUUACCAAGGCUUUGACGGGUCGCCGGCCUGGGAGGGUGACCGGGCACACUGGGAACGAGGAACGGGCCAGACUCCUACGGGGGGCAACAGGGGGGAAUAAUGCGACAUGGGGGGGAGGCUGAAGGAGCGACGCCGGGGGGGGGAAGACGGCCUUUGGGUUGGAAACCGCUUUCGCCUGUGACGAAGCGUGAGUGACGGUAAUGGGUAAAGAAGCACCGGCUAACUACGUG
rnacentral:rRNA from 1 species